rnacentral:rRNA from 1 species
UAGGGAAUAUUGGGCAAUGGGCGCAAGCCUGACCCAGCAACGCCGCGUGAAGGAAGAAGGCCUUAGGGUUGUAAACUUUUGUUGUAAAGGAAGAAGAAAGUGACGGUACUUUACAAGAAAGCCCCGGCUAACUAUGUGCCAGCAGCCGCGGUAAUACAUAGGGGGCAAGCGUUGUCCGGAAUCACUGGGCGUAAAGGGAGCGUAGGCGGAAGUUUAAGUUAAGUGUGAAAGCCUUGGGCUUAACCCAAGAAUUGCACUUAAUACUGGAUUUCUAGAGUGUUGGAGAGGUAAGUGGAAUUCCUAGUGUAGCGGUAGAAUGCGUAGAUAUUAGGAGGAACAUCAGAGGCGAAGGCGACUUGCUGGACAACAACUGACGCUGAGGCUCGAAAGCGUGGGGAGCAAACAGG